UACAGAGGGUGCGAGCGUUGUCCGGAUUUACUGGGCGUAAAGAGCGCGCAGGCGGUCGUUCAAGUCGCGUGUGAAAGCCCCCGGCUCAACUGGGGAGGGUCACGCGAUACUGAUCGACUCGAAGGCAGGAGAGGGUAGUGGAAUUCCCGGUGUAGUGGUGAAAUGCGUAGAUAUCGGGAGGAACACCAGUGGCGAAGGCGGUGAGCUGGGCAGUUGCUGACACUGAGGCGCGACAGCGUGGGGAGCAAACAGG
rnacentral:rRNA from 1 species